UUCAAGUUGGGAGGAAGGGCAGUUACCUUACACGUGAUAGUUAUGACGUUACCGACAGACUAAGCACCGGCUAACUCUGUGCCAGCAGCCGCGGUAAUACAGAAGGUGCAAGCGUUAAUCAGAAUUACUGGGCGUGAAGCGCGAGUAGGUGGUCUGUUAGUUGGAUGUGAAGUGUC
rnacentral:rRNA from 1 species